rnacentral:rRNA from 1 species
CCUACGGGUGGCUGCAGUGGGGAAUAUUGGACAAUGGGCGAAAGCCUGAUCCAGCCAUGCCGCGUGUGUGAAGAAGGCCUUCGGGUUGUAAAGCACUUUCAGUGGGGAAGAAAGCCUUGGGGCUAAUACCCUCGAGGAAGGACAUCACCCACAGAAGAAGCACCGGCUAACUCCGUGCCAGCAGCCGCGGUAAUACGGAGGGUGCGAGCGUUAAUCGGAAUUACUGGGCGUAAAGCGCGCGUAGGCGGUCUGAUAAGCCGGUUGUGAAAGCCCCGGGCUCAACCUGGGAACGGCAUCCGGAACUGUCAGGCUAGAGUGCAGGAGAGGAAGGUAGAAUUCCCGGUGUAGCGGUGAAAUGCGUAGAGAUCAGGAGGAAUACCAGUGGCGAAGGCGGCCUUCUGGACUGACACUGACGCUGAGGUGCGAAAGCGUGGGUAGCAAACAGGAUUAGAUACCCGUGUAGUC